CUUAUGCUCUAAUAAAUUUGUUAGUCUCUAAGGUGCCACAAGUACUCCUUUUCUUUUUGCAAAUACAGACUAACACGGCUGCUACUCUGAAACCUGUUACAUAUCUCUAUGUUUGCUUAAAAAGUUAAUGAGUGCUCAGAUCCCAAUAAGAUUUAAAUAAAGAAAUAAAAAAUACACUACCUAACUGAAAUAUCAAGCUGUUACUAGCCAUCCUAUUAUUCAAGUAUAUUAUUUUGUAGCCGAAAUCUUAGGGCUGCAUUUGAUAGUAUUCAUUGAAGUUAAAAAAAAAAGCUAUACAUAUGGCAACAAUUGCAGUCUCUUUGGAACCUGUAUACAUUAAGAUGAUGAGUACAAUAAUCUUGAGAGUGGUUGUGUUUAGGUUUCAGUCUUAGUAGCCUGUUUCUGAACUGAAGACUUCUAAUUUCCCUUUCACUUUUUCUGUAAUAACCAUUUUAUCUUGCUCACUUUCUCCCCUUUUUAAUUAUUUCAGAUGAAGAACACACAAUGGAUUCCCAGCAAUCCCAGCAGAUAUCUGAUGAUGAGGAGUCUCCACAGGAGAAGUUUAAAUGUUCUUCACCAUAAAUAUUGAGGCAUGAUCAUAAUCCCAACAUAACCCAUGUAUGAGCUUCCUGGGAUCAAUGUGAUGGGCUGCUUCGAACAAGGAGAAUCGUGGGAUUUCCCAUUUUCUGCAGUUAGAAUAAUCACCUGAGCAAUGAGAGCUUCAUGGAUCAUGAGACAGAAGACUGGACAAUGAGAGUCUGGGUGCUCUCGUGGAGUAGGUAUAGAAGACGGUGUGUCAUGCUGAUUAUGAACAAACUUUUGGAUCUUGUAAAAAUAUUGUACAUCAUUUCAAAGAAGAAAAAACAAUUUCUAAACUACUGAUCUACAUUCUUGUAGUGCAGUCAACUGUUCCCUUCAACUCCAAGCUCUAAUUCUGCCAUUUGCUGCCGAAGGACACUAGCCUGAAGUAGACAUGGAAAUAUGAACUUUGGCUACAGCUAGAUGGACUGGGCCCUGAGCAAGGAGCAGAAACAAGGGCUGGGAUUCUCUAGGCUGCAUAGGGAAUUUCAGUGGGAAAUGGGCAUUUAGAUUUGAAAGGCACCUUUGAAAGUUUCAGUCUAAUCUCCUCCGAUGCUACUUCUGGAGCCAAGUCCUUCCAUUUUCCUCCAAGAGGGCUCAUUUUACCUCAUGCACCUUCGUGCUUUUCUUCUUUCUCUUCUCUAUUCCCCACCUUUGUUUCUGCCCUCACUGACUAUUUGAUUUCCCUCAUUUGCUCCCCCAUCUCUGUACAUUUCUCACUUUUUCCUUUCAUGAACACGCCUCAUCUCUGCUCCUGACCUGGUGUGUAUGGACUGCUCAUAGAGCUCUCUGUGCUAGUGGUGGCACUGCAAUAUGAAUUCAUUACACAGAGUCUCCAGCAUUAACCCAAGCCCUGGCUGCCCUCAGGAGAAAAGCACAGCCCUGAGCUACUUACUGAAAGGAGAGACUUUACCUCUUGUUCAUAGCAACGCAGCACAGACCCUGAGCCUGGAAGAACUACCUAUGCUGUCUCGCAGGCAGCCCUGUUUUGGACAGGUGAUAAAUGCAAAGUUUUGCUCUCUUGGAAUCGCAUAAUAUUGUCAAAAUGAACCUUCGGCUGCUGAAUGAGAUCCUGCAUCAUAACAUUAUCUUGAACAUGUUUUUAAGGGAGAAUAGAUAAGAUAAAGAAUAUUGACAGAGAGGGAAUAGAAAGGAGAAGAGAAGCAAAGUAUAUUGUUGUGAGAAGUAAACUGCUAUUUUUAAAUGCUCUCUCCCUGGACUAAAUCUCUCUGGCAUGCAUGUAUGAAGCUCCCAAUGAAGUCAAUGAAAGCACUAUAAUGUAUCAUAAGACUAAAUUUGGCCAGAACAUGCAAAAGAAAAUAAAGAGUAGAUGGAUUUGCUUUAAGACCCCAAAGAAAGCACCAUUCCCCCAUGCUCCAAAUGAGGUGGCACAAGGAAAAAAGGAAAAAAAAGAGAGAAUGAGAAAAAAAUGAAAUUAUCAUUUUAUGUAAAGAAAUCAAUACAAAUGUCAAGAUCUGAUUGAAUACGGGAGUAACUGUUCAUUACAUACAAAUUUGGAUUUUAAAAUGAAUGUUCAUAUUCCUGUUUUUUGGAUCACUGUUUGGAAAUAUAUUAGUGAGCCAGAUUAAUCAGGGAUAUUUGCAAAUAAUGAAUUUUAAAAUAAGUUUUAAUUUUAUAAGAGAAUACUCUUCAGAAGUAUUAGUUUAGGUUAUAAGCUCUUUGGGGCCAGAACCACCUUUUUAGUCUGUGUUUUUACAGCACCUAGCACAAUGGGCACCUGGUCCAUGACAUUCUCCUACAGAGUACUGCUUCGCACAUGUUUAUGAAUUCAAAAUCCACCAGUUUCCACUUUAGAACCCCAAUUCUGAAAGUCACAUUCACCUCCAGGGACAAAAAUGUAACAAAUGACCAAUGUUUCCAAUCAAAAUAUUGCAAAUUUUGAAUGAACAGUAACAAAUAUUUACUGUAAACUUAUCAAAACCAAGGUGCAGGUAAAAAAAAUAAUGUUUGCACCAUCCACUAAAGCAAUUGGCAUUCACCACUGGCAGACAUGAUACCAAACUAGAUGAACCACUGAUCAUGCUGAUAUGACAAUAUAUUUAUAAAUUACUGCUUGAUCCACUGAAAAGUGACACUUGACUAGUCUCAUCUACACGUUUAAUUUUAUAGUUCUGACAAUUUUACUUAAGAAUUAACUUCAACAUCUAAUGAUUAUGUCCACUCUUUUCCUCAGUUCCAUAUUAGAUCACACUGAUCAGAAUUGUUUCCUUCAGUUGUAAUACUACAAUUCAAUGAAGUUCCCAUGAACAUAAUAAGUACUAACUUUCCCAAGAAGUUGCAAGACUGAGGUUAAGAUAAGUUCUAUAGAGGGUGAACACCUCGAAGUUCAUUCCAUUUGUCAAAAUAUAGAGAGAGUACUCAUCCUGGCUACAACAUUAGCUUCCUGGUGCUAUCGCUCACCGGAGCUAAGAACAGGAAGAAAUAGAGCAAAUGUGAAAAAGAAUACAAGAGUUACUCCGAAAAGAGUCUCAGUUAAGCCACUGUGACUCUUUAAUCCACAUGAAAGAUUAGGUUGCUGCAAUGCUGGAAUACAAAACAUAAUAUGCAGUGUGUCUUUUCAUGGGGUCCAAAGGGAAAGAAUAUUAAAACUCCACAGGUAGCAAAGAUAGGUGAGACAUAUGGAGUCCCAGAGCUUUGAAAUAAAUCUUUUCAGAGGUUGAAUUAUUACUUUUGGAAGGACUAAAUCAGAGGUAUUAUCCAAGUCAAUAACGGAAGACAUACAAGACUAAGGUUUUGCCAAGCUGACGAGUUGAGAGACCGACUUAUUUUUCAGCUUUAUUACUGUUAUCUUGCAUGGAGUACAGAGCCCAUAGUCAGUCAGUAAUUAACCUCAGGGUACUGGCAGGCUUAGAGUAGAGAGUGAAGUCUGCCCUGUGCCACCUUUAAGCCUUCAGAUACAAUCGUCAAAUUCCAGACGCGUUAACUCUUAAAAGUAACUUAACUUCAACCAUCUGGAUUCUAAGUCAGGUACACAGAAACAUAUGGGAAAAUCUAUGUGAAUUUCACCCUCAUUCAUUACAUUGGGAAGAGUCUGUUUUACAUCUUGAGAAAGAUUUAGAUUGAAAAGAAAAUAUAGGGAUUGAUGCAUACCCCCUUGGAAACUGUGGAAAAUUUCCACAGGGCUCUUAUAUGGAGGCAUAAAUUGGCCUGAGGAGAGGUCACUUUCUAUUUUGUUUUCAUUUGUUAUAUUUUAUUAGUUAAAACUCCUCUUUAAAUUUGCAAUGCGCAAGUUGAUGUUGUUAAAUUGUAUCAGAUACUUAGGACUACAUCUUCAGCUAAUAUAAAUCAGAAUAUCUCCACUGAAGUCGAUGGAGCUAUGUUGAUUUUAUACCAGCUGAUGAUCUUUUCCUUAGGAUGAGUUUUUCCUCUACUUUUUUAGCAUUUUAACAACAUAAAUCAUAAGGGAUUCUAGUAAUCUGUAUUUCCAUUGAAAUAUCCAUGUAUUUAUAAUAUAAACACACUAUUAUGAUAUAUGUUUAACACAGGUUUUUUAAUCAUAAUACAGACCUGGAUUGCUAAUUAUGGUAGGAAAACCUGUGAAUGACAACUCUGGAAAAGGAAGUAAAUCUCUAAGUAAAUAGAGAAGCAUUUGCUUUUCACAGAUCUCUGAAGACCGGUCUUCACUGGAAAAUUUAACCAUUUUUUAAACAACUGAGUUGAGUGAUACAAUACUGACCUCAACAGCCAGCAUAAACGAGGAGAAGUCACAUUCAGCAUUAUGUCAGUUCUCCAUGGGUAAACACCGGGUUUACACAUGACUGGCUGACAUGAUACUGUACACAGGUCCUUAUCUAUAUGGCCAGUCAGCUCUGUGUUAGCCAACUUCACCAUUAAAGUUUAAACCACAAUAAAAUUUCCUAGUGAAGGUAAGGCAAGCAAGUAAAACCAGUGAUAGUUCAAGAAAAAAGGUAAAUGAGUUAUAAAUUAAAAUGUUCUAAUGUAAGAAUGUAUGGAAUUGUUAGCCAUAUUGUUUAAGUAUAAAUAUUUAUUAUAUAUUGAUAGGUAUUUAGUUUUGCCUUGGAGUGAAAGAUGAAUAGCGUAUGCCUGGAAGAUGGAAGAAGUUUACUGUGGCUUCACUGUUUGAAGUUGUUCCCAUUUGUUAGAUUGAGAAUACAAUACAUAUUGUAUACACAGCACAUUCUUACAGGAAUAGUGUUAGCAUCAUAACUGCAGUCUAAUAAAAAGGGGAGAAGAGUACAACAUUAAACUUAAUGACUAUUUGUA